CCUACGGGUGGCAGCAGUGGGGAAUAUUGCACAAUGGGGGAAACCCUGAUGCAGCGACGCCGCGUGAGCGAAGAAGUAUUUCGGUAUGUAAAGCUCUAUCAGCAGGGAAGAAAAUGACGGUACCUGAGUAAGAAGCUCCGGCUAAAUACGUGCCAGCAGCCGCGGUAAUACGUAUGGAGCAAGCGUUAUCCGGAUUUACUGGGCGUAAAGGGAGCGUAGGCGGCCUGCCAAGUCUGAUGUGAAAUACCGGGGCUCAACCCCGGGGCUGCAUUGGAAACUGGCAGGCUGGAGUGGCGGAGAGGCAGGCGGAAUUCCUAGUGUAGCGGUGAAAUGCGUAGAUAUUAGGAGGAACACCGAUGGCGAAGGCAGCUCUCUGGGCCGUCACUGACGCUGAGGCGCGAAAGCUGGGGGAGCGAACAGGAUUAGAUACCCUUGUAGUC
rnacentral:rRNA from 1 species